UGGGGAAUUUUGGACAAUGGGGGAAACCCUGAUCCAGUCAUCCCGCGUGUGCGAUGAAGGCCUUCGGGUUGUAAAGCACUUUUGGCAGGAAAGAAACGUCAUGGGUUAAUACCCCGUGAAACUGACGGUACCUGCAGAAUAAGCACCGGCUAACUACGUGCCAGCAGCCGCGGUAAUACGUAGGGUGCAAGCGUUAAUCGGAAUUACUGGGCGUAAAGCGUGCGCAGGCGGUUCGGAAAGAAAGAUGUGAAAUCCCAGAGCUCAACUUUGGAACUGCAUUUUUAACUACCGGGCUAGAGUGUGUCAGAGGGAGGUGGAAUUCCGCGUGUAGCAGUGAAAUGCGUAGAUAUGCGGAGGAACACCGAUGGCGAAGGCAGCCUCCUGGGAUAACACUGACGCUCAUGCACGAAAGCGUGGGGAGCAAACAGG
rnacentral:rRNA from 1 species